GAUGAACGCUGGCGGCGUGCCUAAUACAUGCAAGUCGAGCGAACAGAUGAGAAGCUUGCUUCUCUGAUGUUAGCGGCGGACGGGUGAGUAACACGUGGGUAACCUACCUAUAAGACUGGGAUAACUCCGGGAAACCGGGGCUAAUACCAGAUAAUAUAUUGAACCGCAUGGUUCAAUGUUGAAAGACGGUUUCGGCUGUCACUUAUAGAUGGACCCGCGCCGUAUUAGCUAGUUGGUAAGGUAACGGCUUACCAAGGCAACGAUACGUAGCCGACCUGAGAGGGUGAUCGGCCACACUGGAACUGAGACACGGUCCAGACUCCUACGGGAGGCAGCAGUAGGGAAUCUUCCGCAAUGGGCGAAAGCCUGACGGAGCAACGCCGCGUGAGUGAUGAAGGGUUUCGGCUCGUAAAACUCUGUUAUUAGGGAAGAACAUAUGUGUAAGUAACUGUGCACAUCUUGACGGUACCUAAUCAGAAAGCCACGGCUAACUACGUGCCAGCAGCCGCGGUAAUACGUAGGUGGCAAGCGUUAUCCGGAAUUAUUGGGCGUAAAGCGCGCGUAGGCGGUUUCUUAAGUCUGAUGUGAAAGCCCACGGCUCAACCGUGGAGGGUCAUUGGAAACUGGGAAACUUGAGUGCAGAAGAGGAAAGUGGAAUUUCCAUGUGUAGCGGUGAAAUGCAGCGAAGAUAUGGAAGGAACACCAGUGGCGAAGGC
rnacentral:rRNA from 1 species